CCAGGACGAGCGCGUGUGCUGUGGUAGGUCACCGUGCCUGGAGACGGACCCGCAAUGUCGACUGUUCACGCAGCAGCCCCUGAUGCUGUCCCUGGGGGCUAUGUACGUCGGGGAGCGGUCGGCAACGGGGCCGUUGGACCUCACCGACCACGGCGCCCUGAACAAGCCCAUGCGGUACCACGCAUACCGCAACUUCAUCCUGUGGUGGUGGGGUUCGCUGGGACGCGGUGUGCGCCGCGCCGUCCCCUCCUGCGUGGUGUGGGGUAUCAGGCGGCGGUACCCGGCACCCGACCACAACUACGCCGGCUUCAAGCAGGUGCUCAGCGAG